rnacentral:rRNA from 1 species
UUAUAGAGUUUUCUAAACUCCCAACCCAUGUGAACUUACCUUUUGUUGCCUCGGCAGAAGUUAUAGGUCUUCUUAUAGCUGCUGCCGGUGGACCAUUAAACUCUUGUUAUUUUAUGUAAUCUGAGCGUCUUAUUUUAAUAAGUCAAAACUUUCAACAACGGAUCUCUUGGUUCUGGCAUCGAUGAAGAACGCAGCGAAAUGCGAUAAGUAAUGUGAAUUGCAGAAUUCAGUGAAUCAUCGAAUCUUUGAACGCACAUUGCGCCCAUUAGUAUUCUAGUGGGCAUGCCUGUUCGAGCGUCAUUUCAACCCUUAAGCCUAGCUUAGUGUUGGGAAUCUACUUCUCUUAGGAGUUGUAGUUCCUGAAAUACAACGGCGGAUUUAUAGUAUCCUCUGAGCGUAGUAAUUUUUUUCUCGCUUUUGUUAGGUGCUAUAACUCCCAGCCGCUAAACCCCCAAUUUUU